rnacentral:rRNA from 1 species
AUUGAACGCUGGCGGCAGGCUUAACACAUGCAAGUCGAGCGGAGAUGAGGUGCUUGCACCUUAUCUUAGCGGCGGACGGGUGAGUAAUGCUUAGGAAUCUGCCUAUUAGUGGGGGACAACAUUCCGAAAGGAAUGCUAAUACCGCAUACGCCCUACGGGGGAAAGCAGGGGAUCUUCGGACCUUGCGCUAAUAGAUGAGCCUAAGUCGGAUUAGCUAGUUGGUGGGGUAAAGGCCUACCAAGGCGACGAUCUGUAGCGGGUCUGAGAGGAUGAUCCGCCACAGUGGGACUGAGACACGGCCCAGACUCCUACGGGAGGCAGCAGUGGGGAAUAUUGGACAAUGGGGGGAACCCUGAUCCAGCCAUGCCGCGUGUGUGAAGAAGGCCUUUUGGUUGUAAAGCACUUUAAGCGAGGAGGAGGCGCUCUAGGAUAAUACCCUAGAUGCGUGGACGUUACUCGCAGAAUAAGCACCGGCUAACUCUGUGCCAGCAGCCGCGGUAAUAC